rnacentral:rRNA from 1 species
UACAGAGGGUGCUAGCGUUGUUCGGAAUUACUGGGCGUAAAGGGCGCGUAGGCGGCUUGAUAAGUGAGAUGUGAAAUCUCGGGGCUUAACUCCGAAAGUGCAUUUCAAACUGUCAGGCUAGAGUGCAGUAGAGGUUGGUGGAAUUCCCAGUGUAGAGGUGAAAUUCGUAGAUAUUGGGAGGAACACCGGUGGCGAAGGCGGCCAACUGGGCUGCAACUGACGCUGAGGCGCGAAAGCGUGGGGAUCAAACAGG